rnacentral:ncRNA from 1 species
CGCGUGGGACGACCCACUGUAUGCGUCUGUACUCCGCAGGACGACCUGC